rnacentral:rRNA from 1 species
GCUCAACCGAGGAAGUGCUUCGAAAACUGGUAAACUUGAGUGCAGAAGAGGAAAGUGGAACUCCAUGUGUAGCGGUGGAAUGCGUAGAUAUAUGGAAGAACACCAGUGGCGAAGGCGGCUUUCUGGUCUGUAACUGACGCUGAGAUUCGAAGGCAUGGGUAGCAAACAGGAUUAGAUACCCUGGUAGUCCAUGCCGUAAACGAUGAGUGCUAAGUGUUGGAGGGUUUCCGCCCUUCAGUGCUGCAGCUAACGCAUUAAGCACUCCGCCUGGGGAGUACGAUCGCAAGAUUGAAACUCAAAGGAAUUGACGGGGGCCCGCACAAGCGGUGGAGCAUGUGGUUUAAUUCGAAGCAACGCGAAGAACCUUACCAGGUCUUGACAUACCAUGAAAAGCUAAGAGAUUAGUCUUUCCCUUCGGGGACAUGGAUACAGGUGGUGCAUGGUUGUCGUCAGCUCGUGUCGUGAGAUGUUGGGUUAAGUCCCGCAACGAGCGCAACCCUUAUUAUCAGUUGCCAGCAUUCAGUUGGGCACUCUGGUGAGACUGCCGGUGACAAACCGGAGGAAGGUGGGGACGACGUCAAAUCAUCAUGCCCCUUAUGACCUGGGCUACACACGUGCUACAAUGGUCGGUACAACG